rnacentral:rRNA from 1 species
AGUGAAUAGAUACCCCGGUAGUCCACGCCGUAAACGAUGUCUGCUAGCCGUUGGGAUCCUUGAGGUCUCGGUGGCGCAGCUAACGCGAUAAGCAGACCGCCUGGGGAGUACGGCCGCAAGGUUAAAACUCAAAUGAAUUGACGGGGGCCCGGCACAAGCGGUGGAGCAUGUGGUUUAAUUCGAUGCAACGCGAAGAACCUUACCAGGUCUUGACAUCCAGAGAACUUUCCAGAGAUGGAUUGGUGCCUUCGGGAACUCUGAGACAGGUGCUGCAUGGCUGUCGUCAGCUCGUGUCGUGAGAUGUUGGGUUUAAGUCCCGUUAACGAGCGCAACCCUUGUCCUUAGUUGCCAGCGGUUCGGCCGGGCACUCUAGGGAGACUGCCGGUGACAAACC